rnacentral:rRNA from 1 species
GACGAACGCUGGCGGCGUGCUUAACACAUGCAAGUCGAACGGAACGGCCCUGCUUGCAGGGUACUCGAGUGGCGAACGGGUGAGUAACACGUUGGUGAUCUGCCCUGCACUUCGGGAUAAGUCUUAGUAACGGGGUCUAAUACCGGACAGGAGCCAUUUCUAGUGUGAUGGGUGGAAAGUUUUUUAGGUGUGGGGUGAGGUUGCGGCCUAUCAGCUUGUUGGUGGGGUAAUGGCCUACCAAGGCUGCGACGGGUAGCCGGACCUGGAGGGUGGACGGGCACAGUCAGACUGGGAUACGGACAAGACUCCGACGGGAGGCAGAGGUGGGGGAGAGUGAUAUAUGGGAGUGAGCCUGAGGCAGCGACGCCGAGGGGGGGAGGGCGGCCAUCGGGUUGGAGAUGCAUUUCGCUAGGGACGAAGAUGUUAGUGACGGUACCUAGAGAAGAAGCACCGGCUAACUACGUG